rnacentral:rRNA from 1 species
AACCAGUGGAGCAUGUGGUUCAAUUCGAUACAAAGCGAUGAACCUUACCUGGGUUUGAAAUGUACCUGCAAAUCCCGAGAAAUCGGGACAUCCUUCGAGGGUGGUACACAGCUGUUGCAUGGCUGUCGUCAGCUCGUGACGUGAGUUGUUCUCUUAAGUGAGGUAACGAGCGCAACCCCCGUUCUGUGUUAUUGUGUCACAGAAGACUGCCUAGCAUUAUUUUGUUAGGAGGAAGGAGGGGACGACGUCAAGUCAUCAUGAUGCUUAUAUCCAGGGCUACACACAUCCUACAAUGGGCUAUAACAGAGGGUUGCAAGACCGCAAGGUGGAGCUAAUCCCUAAACUAGCCCUCAGUUGGGAUUGCAGGCUGAAACUCGCCUGCAUGAACCCGGAAUUGGUAGUAAUCGCACAUCAGCAGCGUGCGGUGAAUACGUUCUCGCCUCUU